CGCGGGGUGGAGCAGUCUGGUAGCUCGUCGGGCUCAUAACCCGGAGGUCGCAGGUUCAAAUCCUGCCCCCGCCACCA
rnacentral:tRNA from 1 species